UAUUUCUAACAGAUUCUUUCUAAGGACUUUAUAAGGCAUGUUAGACGAAUUAUGAAAAGAUGAAAAUUUAUUAAAUUUUUGAAUUGGUAAUGAAUAAAAUCAUGACAUUAAUGCUUAAAAAUAUUCUGGUUACAAGUUUGAGCUUCCUUCAUUUUCAAGAAGGAAUAAAAAAAACCAAGAACUGAAAAUUCCACGGUACAUCCCAUUUUGAUACAUUGAUGGGAUGAUAAAAAUCCAAAACAUUCUCUGGACAAAAUGAAAUGAACUGUGAAAUCAAAUACUUAAUGUAUAUACUAUAUAUCAAACCUAUGACUCAUCACUAUAACAAAGGAAUUUUUUUCUCCUCUUAUUAGACAAACAACAAGAACAAA